rnacentral:rRNA from 1 species
GAUGAAGGAUGCAAGCGUUAUCCGGAUUCAUUGGGUUUAAAGGGAGCGUAGGCGGAUUGGUAAGUCAGUGGUGAAAUCUGUGGGCUUAACCCACAAACUGCCAUUGAUACUGCUGAUCUAGAGUACAGUUGCCGUUGGCGGAAUAUGACAUGUAGUGGUGAAAUACUUAGAUAUGUCAUAGAACACCGAUUGCGAAGGCAGCUAACGAAGCUGUAACUGACGCUGAGGCUCGAAAGUGCGGGGAUCAAACAGG